rnacentral:tRNA from 5 species
GCCGAGGUGGUGAAAUCGGCAGACACGCAGCGUUCAGGGCGCUGUGAGCGCAAGCUCGUGGGAGUUCAAAUCUCCCCCUCGGCA